rnacentral:rRNA from 1 species
GACGAACGCUGGCGGCGUGCCUAAUACAUGCAAGUCGAGCGGACAGAUGGGAGCUUGCUCCCUGAUGUUAGCGGCGGACGGGUGAGUAACACGUGGGUAACCUGCCUGUAAGACUGGGAUAACUCCGGGAAACCGGGGCUAAUACCGGAUGCUUGUUUGAACCGCAUGGUUCAAACAUAAAAGGUGGCUUCGGCUACCACUUACAGAUGGACCCGCGGCGCAUUAGCUAGUUGGUGAGGUAAUGGCUCACCAAGGCAACGAUGCGUAGCCGACCUGAGAGGGUGAUCGGCCACACUGGGACUGAGACACGGCCCAGACUCCUACGGGAGGCAGCAGUAGGGAAUCUUCCGCAAUGGACGAAAGUCUGACGGAGCAACGCCGCGUGAGUGAUGAAGGUUUUCGGAUCGUAAAGCUCUGUUGUUAGGGAAGAACAAGUACCGUUCGAAUAGGGCGGUACCUUGACGGUACCUAACCAGAAAGCCACGGCUAACUACGUGCCAGCAGCCGCGGUAAUACGUAGGUGGCAAGCGUUGUCCGGAAUUAUUGGGCGUAAAGGGCUCGCAGGCGGUUUCUUAAGUCUGAUGUGAAAGCCCCCGGCUCAACCGGGGAGGGUCAUUGGAAACUGGGGAACUUGAGUGCAGAAGAGGAGAGUGGAAUUCCACGUGUAGCGGUGAAAUGCGUAGAGAUGUGGAGGAACACCAGUGGCGAAGGCGACUCUCUGGUCUGUAACUGACGCUGAGGAGCGAAAGCGUGGGGAGCGAACAGGAUUAGAUACCCUGGUAGUCCACGCCGUAAACGAUGAGUGCUAAGUGUUAGGGGGUUUCCGCCCCUUAGUGCUGCAGCUAACGCAUUAAGCACUCCGCCUGGGGAGUACGGUCGCAAGACUGAAACUCAAAGGAAUUGACGGGGGCCCGCACAAGCGGUGGAGCAUGUGGUUUAAUUCGAAGCAACGCGAAGAACCUUACCAGGUCUUGACAUCCUCUGACAAUCCUAGAGAUAGGACUUCCCCUUCGGGGGCAGAGUGACAGGUGGUGCAUGGUUGUCGUCAGCUCGUGUCGUGAGAUGUUGGGUUAAGUCCCGCAACGAGCGCAACCCUUGAUCUUAGUUGCCAGCAUUCAGUUGGGCACUCUAAGGUGACUGCCGGUGACAAACCGGAGGAAGGUGGGGAUGACGUCAAAUCAUCAUGCCCCUUAUGACCUGG